rnacentral:rRNA from 1 species
UACGUAGGUGGCAAGCGUUGUCCGGAUUUACUGGGCGUAAAGAGCGCGCAGGCGGUCGUUCAAGUCGCGUGUGAAAGCCCCCGGCUCAACUGGGGAGGGUCACGCGAUACUGAUCGACUCGAAGGCAGGAGAGGGUAGUGGAAUUCCCGGUGUAGUGGUGAAAUGCGUAGAUAUCGGGAGGAAUACCAGCGGCGAAGGCGGCCUUCUGGACGGUGACUGACGCUGAGACGCGAAAGCGUGGGGAGCAAACAGG